rnacentral:rRNA from 1 species
UUUUCAAAAACAUUGUCUUAUGUACUUCAUAUUAGAUAAUACCUGCCCAGUGACAAAAUAGUUCAACGGCCGCGGUAUCCUAACCGUGCAAAGGUAGCAUAAUCACUUGCCUAUUAAUUGUAGGCUAGAAUGAACGGGUUAACGAAAUAAAAACUGUCUCAAUUAAUUAACUAAAAAUUAUUCUCUAUCUGAAGAAAGGUAGAUAUACUCGAAGGACAAGAAGACCCUAUAGAGCUUAAUAUAAAUUGUAGGGCUCAAUCUAUAAAAAUAUUCGGUUGGGGCGACCCAGGGCUAAACAAUCACCCUACACACAAAAGAUAUAUUAAUCAAUUAAAUGACCCUUAAAAGAUCAAAAAACAAAGCUACCUUAGGGAUAACAGGCUAAUCCCAUUCAAGAGUCCAUAUCAACAAUGGGGUUUGGCACCUCGAUGUUGGCUUAGGGUAUCUAUUUAGCGCAAAAGUUAUAUAAAGAUGGUUUGUUCAACCACUAACUCCCUACGUGAUCUGUU